rnacentral:rRNA from 1 species
CACCCUAAAACUAGCCCAAAAUCCAAAUACAACCUAUAAAUUUAUAUACCCCCUCACAUAAUAUAUACGUUUAAACAAAUCAUUUUUCCACCUUAGUAAGGGAGACUGAAAAGAAACUAGGCGCUACAGAUAAAGUACCGCAAGGGAAAGCUGAAAAAGAAAUGAAACAAUUUAUAAAGUAAAAAGAAGCAGAGACUAAUUCUCGUACCUUUUGCAUCAUGAUUUAGCAAGAAUACCUAAGCAAAGAGCACUUAAGUUUAGCUACCCGAAACUAAGUGAGCUACUUCGAAACAGCCUUAUAAAGGGCAAACCCUUAUCUGUAGCAAAAGAUUGGGAAGAUUUCCAAGUAGAGGUGACAGACCAACCGAACUUAGUUAUAGCUGGUUGCCUGAAAAAUGGAUUUCAGUUCAGCCUAAUUCAUUAUAUACCCACAAUAUUAUUCAUUACAGGUAAACAUAAAAAUUAGAGUUAGUCAAAAGAGGUACAGCUCUUUUGAUAAAAGAUAGAACUUUUAAAGGAGGUUAAAGAUCGUAGAAAUAAAAAGCCCGUGCCACAGUGGGCCUAAAAGCAGCCAUCUGAAUGAAAAGCGUUAAAGCUCAAGCACUCAAUCCUUAAUUAUACCGACAAAUGCUCUAAAACCCCUUCAAUAUAUCAGGCUAUUCCACCUAUUGUGGAAGUAAUUAUGCUAAUAUGAGUAAUAAGAGAACCAGUUUCUCUCCUUGUGCAAGUGUAACUCGGAACGAACCCGCACCGAAAAAUAACGGACCCAAAUACACAGAGGGAAAUGUAAAAAUAGACAAGAAAAUCAACACUAAUAAACCGUUACCCCUACACUGGAGCACCUAAAAGGAAAGACAAAAUAAUGGAGAAGGAACUCGGCAAAAUUUAAUCUAGCCUCGCCUGUUUACCAAAAACAUCGCCUCUUGCAUAAAUCGUAUAAGAGGUCCCGCCUGCCCUGUGACUAUGUUUUAACGGCCGCGGUAUUUUGACCGUGCAAAGGUAGCGCAAUCACUUGUCUUUUAAAUGAAGACCUGUAUGAAUGGCAUAACGAGGGCUAAACUGUCUCCUUCCUUAAGUCAAUGAAAUUGAUCUCCCCGUGCAGAAGCGGGGAUAAAAACAUAAGACGAGAAGACCCUAUGGAGCUUUAGAUUAAAGUAGACUUGCAUUAAAAUCCUAAAUCAAAAGAACUAACUAAGCAAAACUCUACUUAAUAUCUUUGGUUGGGGCAACCACGGGGAAAAACUUAACCCCCGAGAGGAAUAAGGCUACAAGCCUUAAAACAGAGAAUACCAAUUCUAAGUAUCAAAACACUUUGACCUUAAUGAUCCGGUACUACCGAUCAACGGACCGAGUUACCCUAGGGAUAACAGCGCAAUCCUCUUUAAGAGUCCAUAUCGACAAGAGGGUUUACGACCUCGAUGUUGGAUCAGGACAUCCUAAUGGUGCAGCCGCUAUUAAGGGUUCGUUUGUUCAACGAUUAAAGUCCUACGUGAUCUGAGUUCAGACCGGAGUAAUCCAGGUCAGUUUCUAUCUAUGAAAUGUAAUUCUCUAGUACGAAAGGACCGAGAAAAAGAGGCCUAUAAUGAAAAUUAAGCCUCCCUCUUAAUCCCAGAAAAUAUCUAAAGGGAAUUAAAGAGCACAACUGAAAAGUUGUAAAUAACAACUU